AUUCCCAGCGAAGCACCUGCGAGCGGCGCUGCUCUCUUCCCUCCCAGCGCCCCUUGCCGACCUUGCGCAAACCUUCCCAGCCUAGGCCGAGGCGCGGUUUCAGUCGGCUCCUGCUGCUGCUGCGGGUUCAAGGGCGGAGGCCGCCCACGCGUUUCCCCACCCCCACCUCUCUCCUCAAAGGGUGAGCGGGCCGAGAGGCAGCUACCGGCGCAGCCAUGCUGGCUUUCCAGAAGGGGCUGCGGUUGCUGAAUGGGACCGUGAGGAGCCAGAUCCUCCCAAGGGCAAAGAUGUCCACCAAGUCAGGAAAGAACAGCUUCUUGGAAAAUGCCAUUGGAUUCACAGUGAUUAUAGCUGGCGGCUUUUUCCCAAUUUGUUGGGUUAUGGGCAAUCUGGACAGUUACAGCAAAUGAGAAGAAAAGGCUUUGGGAACAUGGUCACGAAGAAGAAAAUGUCAAUAUUUGUUAUUCCCAAAGGCUUUCAUUAUUAAAACUAAAAUUUGAAAAUUCA